AUGCCAUUCUCGCCACCGCCCGACGGCACAGCGCACCCGCACCACUUUCCCCUGGGAGCCUUGCCACCAAUGGUGCCGGGCGCGGUGGUCGCCCCCGCCUCGUCCACCCUUCCCUGUUUGCAAAUCCAGAUUGAAACUCAAACCAUUUAUUCUGCUAGAUAUGCUUGUACUGAAAUUAUUAUCUUAUACAUUAACAGAGCAUGGAAGAACCAAAAGGUAGUUGAUCAGCGGGAUGGCAAGAGGAAGACAAGAACCAAAUUAAGUUUGUUGCUAUGCAUGUCUGUAUCUAUCAAGAUUCAGUGCUAUGUAGAAAUGUCCCUGAGAUUUGUUUCACUCAAGGAGACCAAACAAUCAGGAACACAAGUAGGAUAG
rnacentral:rRNA from 1 species